rnacentral:rRNA from 1 species
UGUGCAAGCGGGGUACCAGUCACUUUGGCAAAUCCGGGUGGCAAUGGGAAGCCGUGAUGCGGAGCGAAAUAAAGUAGCGAAGUCCGUGAGCCAUGCGUCAAGAAAAGCCGCUAUCGUUUAUACCGUACCCGUACCGUAAACCGACACAGGUGGAUGAGGAGAGAAUCCUAAGGCCGGCGGAAGAAGCAUUGUCAAGGAACUCGGCAAAAUGGCCCCGUAACUUAGGGAUAAGGGGUGCCUGGGAAACCAGGCCGCAGAGAAUAGGCUCAAGCAACUGUUUAGCAAAAACACAGGUCUAUGCGAAACCGAAAGGUGAGGUAUAUGGGCUGACGCCUGCCCGGUGCUGGAAGGUUAAGAGGAGAGGUUAGCGCAAGCGAAGCUUUGAAUUUAAGCCCCAGUAAACGGCGGCCGUAACGAUAACGGUCCUAAGGUAGCGAAAUUCCUUGUCGGGUAAGUUCCGCCCCGCACGAAAGGCGUAAUGAUUUGAGCGCUGUCUCGACAAUGCAUCCGGUGAAAUUGAAGUACCAGUGAAGAUGCUGGUUACCUGCGCCAGGACGGAAAGACCCAUGGAGCUUUACUCCAGUUUGGUACUGGGACUCGGUAUUGCAUGUACAGGAUAGGUGGGAGGCUAGGAGACAGUAACGCCAGUUAUUGUGGAGCCGCUGUUGGGAUACCACCCUUGCAGUAUUGGGUUUCUAACCAGCCGCCGUGACCCGGCGGUGGGACAAUGCCAGACGGGGAGUUUGACUGGGGCGGUCGCCUCCGAAAGGGUAUCGGAGGCGCCCAAAGGUUCCCUCAGAAUGGACGGAAACCAUUCGAAGAGUGCAAAGGCAGAAGGGAGCUUGACUGCGACACCGACGGGUGGAGCAGGUACGAAAGUAGGGCUUAGUGAUCCGGUGGUAUUAAGUGGGAAUGCCAUCGCUCAACGGAUAAAAGCUACCCUGGAUAACAGGCUUAUCACUCCCAAGAGUUCACAUCGACGGAGUGGUUUGGCACCUCGAUGUCGGCUCAUCGCAUCCUGGGGCUGUAGUAGGUCCCAAGGGUUGGGCUGUUCGCCCAUUAAAGCGGUACGCGAGCUGGGUUCAGAACGUCGUGAGACAGUUCGGUCCCUAUCCGGCGUGGGCGUAGGAUAUCUGAGAGGAGCUGUCCUUAGUACGAGAGGACCGGGAUGGACGGGCCGCUGGUGCAUCGGUUAGACUGCCAAGUCUACGGCCGAGUAGCCAAGCCCGGAAGGGAUAAACGCUGAAGGCAUCUAAGCGUGAAGCCCCCCUUAAGAUGAGAUAUCCCAUUCGAAAGAAGUAAACCCCCUUGAAGACGACGAGGUAGAUAGGGCAGAGGUGGAAGUGUGGCAACACAUGGAGCUGACUGUUACUAAUCGGGAGAGGGCUUGACC